rnacentral:rRNA from 1 species
GUCCUCUUGAUAAUAUUUUGAGGUCCGGUCUGCUCACUGAAUUAUUAAAUAGCCGCGGUAUUUUGACCGUGCAAAGGUAGCAUAAUCAUUAGUCUUUUAAUUUGAGGCUGGAAUGAAUGGUUUGACGAGAAAUUAACUGUCUCUUAAUAAUUAUUAGAAUUUAACUUUUAAGUUAAAAGGCUUAAAUUUUUUUUUAGGACGAGAAGACCCUAUAGAGCUUAACAUAAAUAUUAUAUAUGGUUUAUUGGGAAAUUUUUUCAUAUUUAUUAAUAAUGUUUUGUUGGGGUGACAUGUAAAAUAAUUAAACUUUCCAUUAUUAAAACAUUAAUUAGUGUUUUAUUGAUCCAUAAUUUAUGAUCAUAAGAUUAAGUUACCUUAGGGAUAACAGCGUAAUUGGUUUUAAGAGUUCAUAUCGACAAAUCAGAUUGCGACCUCGAUGUUGGAUUAAGAUAAAUUUUAAGUGCAGUAGCUUAAUAAUUAGGUCUGUUCGACCUUUAAAUUCUU